CCAGACUCCUACGGGAGGCAGCAGUGGGGAAUAUUGCACAAUGGGGGAAACCCUGAUGCAGCAACGCCGCGUGAGUGAAGAAGUAUUUCGGUAUGUAAAGCUCUAUCAGCAGGGAAGAAGAUGACGGUACCUGACUAAGAAGCCCUGGCUAACUACGUGCCAGCAGCCGCGGUAAUACGUAGGGGGCAAGCGUUAUCCGGAUUUACUGGGUGUAAAGGGAGCGUAGACGGCGAUGCAAGCCAGAUGUGAAAGCCCGGGGCUCAACCCCGGGACUGCUCUUGGAACUGCGCGGCUGGAGUGCAGGAGGGGCAGGCGGAAUUCCUGGUGUAGCGGUGAAAUGCGUAGAUAUUAGGAAGAACACCAGUGGCGAAGGCGGCUUUCUGGACUGAAACUGACGCUGAGGCACGAAAGCGUGGGGAGCGAACAGGAUUAGAUACCCCCGUA
rnacentral:rRNA from 1 species